rnacentral:rRNA from 1 species
GCGAAAAGAACCCCGGCGAGGGGAGUGAAAAAGAACCUGAAACCGUGUACGUACAAGCAGUAGGAGCCUCUUUAUGGGGUGACUGCGUACCUUUUGUAUAAUGGGUCAGCGACUUAUAUUCUGUAGCAAGGUUAACCGCAUAGGGGAGCCGUAGGGAAACCGAGUCUUAACUGGGCGAAUGAGUUGCAGGGUAUAGACCCGAAACCCGGUGAUCUAUCCAUGGGCAGGUUGAAGGUUGGGUAACACUAACUGGAG